GCAAGCCUGAUGCAGCCAUGCCGCGUGUGUGAAGAAGGCCUUCGGGUUGUAAAGCACUUUCAGCGGGGAGGAAGGCGGUGAGGUUAAUAACCUUGUCGAUUGACGUUACCCGCAGAAGAAGCACCGGCUAACUCCGUGCCAGCAGCCGCGGUAAUACGGAGGGUGCAAGCGUUAAUCGGAAUUACUGGGCGUAAAGCGCACGCAGGCGGUCUGUCAAGUCGGAUGUGAAAUCCCCGGGCU
rnacentral:rRNA from 1 species